GUUGCUGUUGUUGCUUUUUCUCUGGUGGUGAUGGACUGGUAAACACAGCUGGAUAGCUUCGACGUUAACAGGGUGGCUAACUCCAUUACCCCGCUAACUUAAGACGGGGAUAGUACAAUUAUGAACUUGGGAAACGUAUUAUGGUGAUUUGGCUCGCAUUCACAGACUGCUUCGCCACCCACGGAGCGUUCAGCUUUGUCAGCUGUCCAGCUCUGCCCCUCGCACAUUCUCUCAGGGUUAGUUGUGGGCAGUCACCUGUUGCUGGAAAUAAGAAAGGCUGUCAGACUGAAAUAGCAGGUGGUGCUGGUCCUAAAGCCUCCAGCUGUGGGCUUGAAUUAGAAAUCUUUACAAGCUCCAAUCUGCUGUUAUGAAUCCUCCUGGGAGUUUAAGCCAUGGCUUUUUGUUGGGCAUCAAGAUACUAGCUCAUAAAAAUUUUACUUUUUUGUUGCAAGGUGUAGCCAGUCCCAGUCCCAGGUUUGUAUGUUGCAUUAAACCUUACAGACCAUUUCCAGAAUACUGAAGUCCAGACAGUCUUAUUAUGGAUGUCAAAGUUGAAGGAAGUUUAAAGAUUAUGGAAACAUUACAGAUAAACAGAUCAAUCCAUCAGGCAUGUGAUCGGGUUCAUUAAUGGCAUUUUUAAAUAGUUCCCUGAUGUCUGCACACAUUAAGUCAAUUAAAAGAUAAACAAUAAUGUCUACAGAGACUGCAAGAAGCUUUUGAAAAGCUGCCUCCAGUCGUAGAUGAGAUGAUGAGCAGGAUAAGCACAGUAGGAGUAAGUAAAGUUAUUAUAUUUCACGUGUUCACUUAGAUUACCUGUUUAGCUUGAGAACUAGAAAUGUCAAUGGAUGUAAAUAAGCAAUCAACUCUGGGGAAGUUUAGAGAAGAUGGUGGAAACUCUGAUUUAUGUACCUAUAAAUGCUUACCUGACUAUUCUCAGUCACCGUGGUCUUUUCUACACAAUAACACAUUUGUCUUAUUCUAAAUAGCAGACGACCAAAUCUGAAACAUCUACUUGCUUUUGUUCAAUGAAAACUUUCUUAUGCCAUAUAGAAUAAUUCAAUUAAAAGUUGCUUUUGACAUUAAUAAUCUUUUGAAAUCUACCCAAUUUUAUUAGUUUUAUAAAAUCAUUGGAAAUAAAUCUAAGACAUGUUACUGGCUUAGCCAAGCUUGUAUAUUUGGUCAUAAAUGCAUGGAACAAUGGAAUUUUACAUGACAUGACUCUCUCAUUUCUUAUUUGAUUAUUGUAUUUAUCAAACGCAACAACAAUAACAACAACCUGGUAUCAAUUAUCAUAUACUGGCCAGUCUGCUCUAAUCAUUUGCACUGACAUCAGCUGUUAAAAAUGGUAUUGGAUGACCAAAAGAAGAGAUUCUGUCAGAGGUAAAUUUGAUCAUGAAGGAAUUUGACAGGUUGUUUGUUUUGUUUUGUUUUGUCUUGUUUUUCGCUUAAUCACAGCAUUUGAAACGUUUCUUCCCAUUAACUUGAUGGUGGACUAAAUUAAUUGUGUGGCUGCUAGUCUUUCAAAAAUUAGAAGUAUGAAGCAACUUUGGCCUUCCUAAGUUGAUUUAUCGAUAUAGUCUCUCUGAAGUUAUAAUGGCAGGCAGGUACUUUGAAAACCUGUGCUGCCUCAGGAUUGGCCUGCAUGAACGCUGACAGAUACUGAUCUUAACACAAAUGAUUUCAGCUGCAAUAUGAACUUCAGUCAAAGUGGGUCCCUGAGUGUGCAGCUCUGUAGCCUGUCCUGGUCUGACUGCUCUUCCGGGCAGUGAGCAGGCACUCGACAAACGGGAAGAGUGCGUGUGAUUAGAUUCCCCUCUCUAUUCUUCAUUGUUCUCCAUGGAGCUUGCUGACAGAAAACUGGACAAAGGGACAAAAAUAGUUUCAGUCACAGAGCCAAGGUCUGGACCAGAGACGGGAGCGAGUGUAACUUUUGGCUAUGACCUCUGUUUGUCCUCUAGAGGGCGUCCUAUAGCCUUCAAGCAUGCCAAGCAUCCUAACAAGGCUGUGGUGAAAGAGAGGAUGGUAGAGACAUAUGAGAGAACAUACUCAGAGAGCAUACAAGAGAGUACAAAGGCAGGUUUUUGCUAACUUUCGUGAGGUUUUUAGCCAGCGAGUUUCUAUGCAACAUCUGAAUUGUGCUCUAGUGUAUCAUAAUAUAUACAGUACUGUAGUGUCUUAUUCACAGUAAAUAACUGCUCAUCUUGAUACAGCUGCUCCUCUCAGUGGGUGGUAUAUGUUGGACAGUGAAUGAUCCUUUUGCUCUAAAAGUUGAUGAGUUGAAAAGAGGAAAAAUGUGCAGAAAUAAGGAUGUGAGCGAUGUCUGAGGCCAUAUUUGGGUUGGUUUUCAGGGGUACCCAGUCUGUAGUGAUCGAUGCAGAAGUGGUCCAAGUAGGGCUGGGCGAUAUGGGAAAAAGUUUAUCACGAUAUAUUUUUUUCAUAUCAGUAAAUAUCGAUAUAAAUAUAAAAAAAUCAUUUUUCAAUCAUAAAUGGUCCCUGUUACUCUUCAACGAAAUGCAAUAGUGCUUAUUGGUAGCAUGUCUUUUGCAAUACAAUAAGCUACUGCAUCUGUGAGGUCUUUGAGUCUCUUUGUCAUUUUGUCGUAAGGCAUUGCACUAGAGGAAGCAGACUGAAUGGUUGCCUGUUUCGGCUGCACAGGUGCCAUGGGCUCCUUGCUCGGCUCAGGGUUUGUAACCUUUAGCAUUGCGCGUGCUCUGUUGCGUGGCACUGCUUCAGGUGGUGAAAAAAAGAUUUGAGGUAUUCCCCGACUUUGCAAGAACAUGUACUUGACAUAAUUUGCAGUGCACAUUACUCUGCUUCAUGUCCGACCUCAAAAAACCAAAAUACCUCCACACCACCAACGUUUUCGUGCCAGUGUUGUCGACGAUGUCAUCAUCUGUUGGGCCUUCAUCUGCGUUUCUGCCAGGGGUAGCACUCAUUUUCAGUUUCUUUUCUUCUCACUGAUAGUGCUGUUGACUUCAUGUUUUAAAGUGCUAUGGUUGCGUGUAGCUGCAGCCUGCUACUACGCAGUUGUUUGCUACUUGGUUUUAAUUCAGCACAUGAUUGGUUCAACAUGAAGCGGACCCAAAGCAACUCCCCUUUUCAUUGGCUAUUCGUAUAGUCUACCAAAACAUGGCAGAAUGCUGACUAUCAAAAAGGAUAUUGACCAUGUUUUAAACCGAUAUUGAGGGAAAAUCAUUUUCGAUAUUGUUAUCGUUUUAUCGCCCAGACCUAGGUACAAGGAAGGAAAAUGGUUAACUGGGCAGCCAAGGCUCUAUGUGGUCGACCUAAGUGGUCAGUACCAACGAGAGCGGCAAUGUUUGUCAAACUCUUGUAGAAACCGUUUUAAUAGAAAUGUGUUUGAACACCCAGUGCCUUUAGGGGUCAGGGCUGUUUAGCAUCAGAAAGGGGGGGGGGGGCUACACCAUAAGAGGCAGGUUGUCAUGAUUUAUGGCUGAUGGAUUGGUGUAUGAAGACGGAGUUCCUGCCAGGAAACAAAGAGAGUGUUCAAGGCCCUGUAAUUCUUGAACUAAAGUAAAACACUUGUUUAUGGCAACAGUUAAACAAAUAUUUCACAGCAUAGAAAUGCUGAUAUAAUCAAAUAAAAUACAAUACAUGUAGCACCUUCAUCCAAAGAAAGCUAUUUGAAGAUGUAGGCCUUUGUCAGAGUCUCAUCGCAUUUCUUCAUCCUGCUGAUGUUCAGCAUGUUUUCACCGUACCUGUGUCUCCAACCAGUCAUCUAUCCUCAAUCUCAAAUGUUUCCAUUACCAGAAGUGCUUUCUUUUUCACUUAAAGGUCUUCAUCGACCACAUUUUCCUCACUCUUUUCUCCUUCUGGCUGUCUUACCAUGGUGUAAGCAAAUUUAGAUCAGUUAAUCAGAGAUGGCUGCUGGGCUAGCUGGCACUAAUAUGAUAUGAAUCCAUAUAUCAGAGGCUCAAUCUAAACAGGUCAAAUGUGGAAAGUCAGUCUAUGUAAAAUAGUUUCUUUUACUCUUCAUAGUAAUGGUAAUCUUUUGCACAUGGCGAUCAUGAUGGAGUUGCAAUUCUUUGCACAGCCUUGCAUUGAAACGUCUGUCACUCUGGAUUCACGUGUCAUUACAGACUCAUCCAGUCAGUGAGAACAUCUCAUUCACUGUAUUGCACGUCCUGGUGGUGGUGAGAGUGUGCAUACCAUCUAUAUUAUGUAAAGAUGGCAAAGCUUUAUAACAUCUUUCGAUCCCGUAAGGCUUUGAAUUCUCUGUCUGUGGGACUGAGAGCCUGAGCAGCCCCCCGCCCACACACGCACACACAUACACACACACACACCACGUGCUGGCCUUUGUGUUUUAUGGACUGGGAUUACAUUACGCACCGAGCAUCCUGUCGCAGGGUCAGAGCAGAGGUCACUGCAAGCUGCAUACUUUCACUGCUACAUGUGCAAUGCCAUGCUUGGCCUUUCCUAUGGAGUACACCUCAAAGGUUGUACUUGGAUUUAAUUGCUGCUGACAUUGCAUCUUCAUUCUGUUGUAAAUGCGUUGAUAUCAGGAUCAUCCUCUGUAUGUUACCCUUUUGAGGACUUAUGUGUCGCUUGUUUUUAAGACAGCUCACCAAAGUUGUUGCUCUUCUGCUCUACUGUAUGUAAACUCGCCUGCUUCACAUGCUUGCCUUGUUUGCAUAUGUUAAAGAGUCCUGCUUGCUUCUCCAAACACAUGAAUCCACGUCUGCACUGCAGUCACCAGAAACGCUCGAGCCUGUCUGGGAAAUGGCACCAAAUCUCCUCUGUAAACAUCUUAGGGCUACGCUCCUGAGAGCCUCCCCGGUGCUAGCGAGUGGAAAACAUUGAUUGUUGUUUGUAUGCUUCCCUUCCUAAAUUUCAUUCAGUAUUUGAGCCUUUGUGGUGAAUCUCUCUUAUAUCAGCUCACUCACAGAGCAGAAAAACCGUGUUAGGCUGUGUUUCAUAUUAAGUUUGUAAAUGGCAAGGCAAUUACUCAAAAUUUAGGCCUACAUAGAGGCUCCAUCCAACCAAAUCUCUCUGUUCCUCGUUUGCCCUCCCUGGCUCCGUCCCUCCCUCUGAGUUAAUGGGGUUGUGUGGCUUGGCAAGAUUGCUCUUUUUAGGAUCUGUGUUGAAUAUGAAGAAGGCAGACACACACUCUCAGACAUGCACGUACAGAGUGGUCUUGUUAGCUACCCUCACAUUCUCUGGCAAAGGCAGUUUGUUCCAGUUUUAUAAUGAGGAGAUCGGGACUUUUGAAGCCAUGCCACGGAUACACCAAAGAGGAUAGUGUAACACACACACACACACACACACACACACACACACACACACACACACACACACACACACACACACACACACACUCACACUGAUCUGGAAUCCAUUUUCUUUCCUCUGUCUAUUCUUUCACAUCAUAAUGGAAAGAGCACGUCUAUUUUAGCACCAACUUUAUGGAAAUGGUGACCUCUCAGGUUUGAUUGAGCCAAAUCUAAAAACAACACAGUAUUGUAAGUGCACAUAGGUUCAGUUGAAGUAAUUGAGUCUGCACAAAACUUUUACAGCAUGAGUCGAAAAACAGAAAAAAAAAAACCUUAAAGUUGUUCUGAAUUAAAAUAAGAAGAACUUUAAUUAACCCAAAGGGGGAAAUUCAGUUACAGAUUAUCUCAGCUCUAAAUAAAAGAUCAUGCCAUUUUUCACUUUAGAUUGGAGGGCUUUCAAUUAUCAGUCUCCAAUCGUAGCACCAUCGACUCAUCCUGCUGACUUUGACUGUCAAUUGGAUCAUUUAUUUUAUUAUAGUAUACGGAUUUGAAGCCGAAAAGCUCUCGGUAAUUCCGUGUUUUUUCUCCACUUCCUGAAACCAACAUUGCGCAGUAGCGUUGUACACGCUCCACCACUUGCGCAGUAGCAUUGUACGCAUUCAGCGGGAGAGUCGGAGAGUCGCUGUGAUGAUGCUCGGCUCAAACAGCGUAUCCCCCGGGUGAGCUACGCAAUCUUCGUACACCCAUAGGCUGUAUCAAGUGUCAAUCAUAGAAAACAUGAACCCCCAAAUAACUUUUAAAAAUGGAGCUUCACAGAAAAAAGAGGACUUGAGCACAAACUAGUUUUACAGUAACUACAUGUCAACAUCACAAGCAGGGGGGAGAAAAAUGUAUAUUCUGUGUUAUAAACUUCUAAAGUUUGUCAACAGCUCCAUAGGGAUUGCUGGAGGAGGCAAAAUUUAUGACCUAUACUGCAGCCAGUCACCAGAGGGUGCUGUUCUUGCGGUGGCUUCACCAAGCGAGGAGGCAGAUGGUGUCAAUUCUAUAUACAGUUUUUGGUAAAAA